rnacentral:piRNA from 1 species
UACUGGCAUUUGCUGACAAAGCUUUGCAUAA